GCACCUAGUUUACACCUAGAAGAUUUCAUAUGAAUUGACCGCUUUGA
rnacentral:tRNA from 1 species